rnacentral:rRNA from 1 species
GACGAACGCUGGCGGCGUGCUUAACACAUGCAAGUCGAACGGAAAGGCCCUGCUUUUGUGGGGUGCUCGAGUGGCGAACGGGUGAGUAACACGUGAGUAACCUGCCCUUGACUUUGGGAUAACUUCAGGAAACUGGGGCUAAUACCGGAUAGGAGCUCCUGCUGCAUGGUGGGGGUUGGAAAGUUUCGGCGGUUGGGGAUGGACUCGCGGCUUAUCAGCUUGUUGGUGGGGUAGUGGCUUACCAAGGCUUUGACGGGUAGCCGGCCUGAGAGGGUGACCGGCCACAUUGGGAUUGAGAUACGGCCCAGACUCAUACGGGAGGCAGCAGUGGGGAAUAUUGCACAAUGGGCGGAAGCCUGAUGCAGCAACGCCGCGUGGGGGAUGACGGCCUUCGGGUUGUAAACCGCUUUCGCCUGUGACGAGGCGUGAGGAAGGGAAAUGGGUAAAGAAGCACCGGCUAACUACGU